ACGCCUCGCAUGGAUAUCAGCUAAAACAAUUUCAUGUCUGCCAUACAUGUAUUAUGUUGUAAAGACUUGAUUGUCAGAAAGCCCACUAGGAACCGAAAAUAUUCAGCGAGUUUCACACGGACUGUUAUUAGCGGUGCAACUUCCCAUACUCGGAUGCCGGGCCAGAUCCCAAUGCGCUCCUUUUCUUCCUACAUGUUGUGCGUUCAUGCACCAAAUACCACAACAUACUUGAAGGAAAGUUUGAUGGCACUGACUGCUUAAUAAUUGUUAUUAAAGAAGUUUGAAGAGGA